rnacentral:rRNA from 1 species
GACGAACGCUGGCGGCGUGCCUAAUACAUGCAAGUAGGACGCAGUUGCGAACGGGUGAGUAACGCGUAGGUAACUACCUAUUAGAGGGGGAUAACUAUUGGAAACGAUGGCUAAUACCGCAUACUAGUAGAUGGACCUGCGUUGUAUUAGCUAGUAGGUAGGUCAAUGGCCUACCUAGGCAACGAUACAUAGCCGACCGAGGAGUGUGAUCGACCACGAUGGGACUGGUGGACGGGCCAGACUCGUACGGGAGACAGCGGGAGGGAAUCUUCGGCAAGGGGGGAAACGCUAAACGAGCAACGCCGCGUGGGUGAGGAAGAUUUUCGGAUCGUAAGGCGCUGUUGUGAGGGGAGCGGUACUUAACCGGAAGGCGACGGCUAACUGCGUGCCAGCAGCCGCGGUAAUAC